UUAAAGUUUGAUUUUGGUUUUUAUAUUAGUUUUAUUAUUUUUUUGCAUGUAAGGUUUUAAUUUAAUUAAAAAUUUUUUUUGCAGCAUUUAAUUUUAAUAAUUAAAUAAAUUUAGAAUUAUAAAUUAUAUAAUAAAUAUAGACAAAAAAAUUGUGCCAGCAGUAGCGGUUAAACGUUUUAUAUAAAUUAAUAUUUUUAAUUGAUAAAUUAUAUUAUUCAAUAUUUAUAUAAUAAAAAUAAAUUUUAUGGUGAAAUUAAAUUUUUUUAUUAUAUAUAUAUAUAUAUAUAUAUAUAUAUAUAUAUAUAUAUUAUUUUAUGAAAUUUAAAAUUUAAACUAGGAUUAGAUACCCUAUUAUUUUAAAUGUUAAAAUUUUAUUUUAAUAAUUAAUAGUUAUGUUCUUUAAAAUUAAAAAAAUUGGCUGUAUUUAAAACUAAUUAGGGGAAUUUGUUUAUUAAACGAUAAUCCGCGAGGUAUCUUACUUUAAUUAAUUUAAUUUAUUUAUUUUCGUUAUCAGAAUAUUUUUUUAGAAUUUAAAUUUUCAUGAAAUUUUAUAAAAAAUUGUAUUUCAGAUCAAGAUGUAGUUUAUAUUAAAGUUUAAAUGAGUUACAAUAAAAAAUUUAUUUUUGGAUAAUAAAUUGAAAUAUUUAUUUAAAAUUGGACUUAAUAGUAAAAUUAAAAAUUAUUUUAAUUUGAAUUUAGAAUUAAAUAUGUACAAAUCGCCCGUCACUCUCAUUAAAAAAUGGGAUAAGUCGUAACAAAGUAAAUAUACUGGAAAGUGUAUUUAGAAUUCA
rnacentral:ncRNA from 1 species